AGAAAGGGUCCCGAAGGCCACCUUGCAGCCACCCCUCGCGGCUAUAAAAGGAGACGCUGGGCUCAAGAAGAGAACACAAGAGACGGGAGAGCACGGAGCACUCAAAGCAUCGAGACUCUCCACCAGAGCACCACUUCCUUCGUAGUCUACCCACCACCACUACUAGUAGAAUAGCCAAAAAGGCGCUUAGUUCGCCAAGAGUUUGAAGACGUCCACUUUGCGCCCUGGCUAUCGACUUAUUUCUUCAUUAAGGUGUUGAUCCGCUGUAAUGAUUAGUUACUCUGAAGAUUGAGAGUUUUAUUUCUUCAUGCAUCAUCGAGGUAAGACAAAGACCAGAAUCUCCAUAGACUGAAAAUCAUUCCUUGCACGGUGAAAUAAUGCUUAGAGAUUGAAAGAUUUUAUUUGUAAUUAUGUCUGUUCUGUGGAGACACAAGUAUUUAUUGGUCCAUCUGACAAGAUAGAAUUAGUAGUUAUCUAUGUAUAUCCCCUUUAUUAGACUGGCAUCAAAAGUAAUGACAAGGAGUUGAUAUGUUGUUGAAAAAAGAAAACAAUACAACAUACCACAUUGAUAUAUUUGCUGCAUGUAUCAAACAGUAGGGUAUGUGUCAUUGUAGUUUCUUAAUGGUGGAAGACUGAAGCUUCUAUCCCAUACCAUUCAACGUGUAUUUCUUCAAGUGAAUUUCUUUCUAUCUCCCAUGGACUCAUGGUGCACCUAUCAGUUGGAAAAACUGAUCAUUACAUAUAGAGAACUAAAGGAGUGGACGACAUAUAAUAUUUAAGAGAGGCAGUGAUGCUACAUUGAAAGCUUAGGUUAUUUGUUUACUUUUUGCUAAGAAAUAAGUAUAAAUAAUUAUCUAUACAUGAAAACUUGGAAAUACAUAAAUUGUACUCUUGGCACCAAAAUUGCUUAUUUAUGUAGGAGAAGAAAAAGAUUCACGGUUCCUGUCCUCUCCACCGCUUCUAUUGCAGAUGAAACUUUGAUCUUUCCCUUCAGGGUAAAAUGGAUUAUCUGAGAGUUUCCGAUCCCAUAUUGGUAUCCGAUGUUCCGAUAAGAUUAUGUUUACUUAUUGUUUAGUCUUUUUCUUUGGACAGGAUUUUUGUCUCAAGUGUAACCCGAACAUAUGAAGGGAUACUAAGCUUUGCUAUUUCCAUUUUUUUAUUUGUAGGAAGUAUGGACACAUAGAAGUAAGACUAAAUUUGUCUAUGUUAAUAUCUAAUUCUGAAAAUGCACAAGGAAAAUUUUCAGUCUUGCAAUCGUAAUUUAUGUCAUCGUAGUUUUUCUUUUCUGCUGUUGUGCCAACUGAUUUGAUGGCAUACUUUCCUCCUCUGCAUCUUGCUGCUGCUGGGCUCUACUGUCUAUUCUUUGAUGAGGGAAAAACUAGACUGAGGAGUGCAUGGCGACCACCUGCUGAUGCCUCACCGGCUACGAACAACCGUUCUAUGAGAUUGGAUGCCGAAAUUACAAUGUGUUACACUCAACCAUGCAGCGAUUAAUGUUUUUUUUUGAACCACCCUUUUUAGACUUUUGAUUUCAGUUAACGUCACAUUGCUUCGCUUUAAUAUGUGUCCGCUUCCAUUGUUUAAUCUACCAGGUGUUCCAACGUACUACAGCCUGAGCGUGUAGGAUAGAAUAUGAUUUUAUUCUACAUUAUUGCUUUACGACUUCUGAACUUCACAAGUUAGUUUGAUAUCAUAUGGAUGUCAACAAUAUUACUUGCAGCAAGUCUGUCGAUUCCUGUUAGAUGUCGGCCUCUACGAUUCGAGGUACAUAAUUCAUACUACUUAGAUAGAUUAUUCUAGCAAUAUGAAAAUUUGAUCUCUUUAAGUCUACAUAAAUUUUGUGGUGCGUACAACGUCCAUAGCAGCUUCUACUAUGGUGUAUUGCUGUCGUCUGAUCAGACGAUGCGCUGGAUAGAGCCUGCAAGCAGGUUUGGAGCAGCAUGAAACGGAAGAGGCAGUAUGGCUCACAAAGUGACACUUACAUGCCAUCACGUGAAAGGUCACGCUGAGGUCCUGUUCAUCUAUAACAUAAAUUGUGUACGAUGUCUAAGUUAAUCAUAUUUAACACCAUGUAAAAUAAGAUAUUAUUUGCACAACUAUUCUAACAAUAAUAGGCCAGUACGAGGAAAUAAAUACGUUUUAUAUUGUCAGCUAGAUCCUUAUCUGGGUAUGAUGAUGUAAGCAAACAUGAGGAAAUAAACAAUUACUUACAAGA